rnacentral:misc_RNA from 1 species
UCGUAUAAAAUGGAGGUGCUCGGGCUGUCGCUGACCUUUGAAAAAGGGUCGUGCACGCCCGGAGUGCUCUCUCAUAUCCAUCUCACCCCUUUGUGCAUUGCCGCGUGGGUCCCCUUUUGGCUUGUUCCGAGGGGGUGACCUGCGUUUUCACACAAACUUGAAGCAAUGUAGAAUGUCUCUUUUUUUGCGAUAACACGCAAUCAAUA